GCGUAGGUAUGUGCUUUUCUGUGUGAUGCGUUGCGUUUGGACGGGCUGUGAAUAGCGGCUCUAUCAUUGCUUUGCUUGCUCACUAACAUUUAAUUCGAGUUUGACGUGGUUUCUCGUGGAUUAAGCAUUUUAGCUUGCUCCCAUGCGCCUCAAGGAAAUUUUGGAUUGCUAAUAGUUCCAAGCUGCAUGCCUGCAACCCACAUUCUUCUCGCCGAUUGUAAUUUUCAGUUCAUUACACAAAAUUCGAGAGUUAUUGAUGCGUGUGUUGGCCUGUGUCGUAUUUGAGAUGAUGUUGGUGAGAUGAACAUGAUGAAGUAUGCACUUUUACUGACAGUUUUCUUUCUGUUUCAGUGUUUUAACUCUUUUCUUCUCUGGAUUAUCAAUAUGCUUGUAAACUGCUUUGAAACUUGUAGAUGUUUGUGAAUGUUACUUUCUGGAGGAACGCAGAAUCGGCAGAAUCACAUGCAAAAAUGGCACAUAGUACAGGCUUGGUGCAAGCUAUUUUAUUUGAAGCAGCUGACAGGGAUAACAUUGGGGGUUCUGCCUAUGGUGGACAGAGGUCCAUUUGUUGCACCCCUGACCUUGCUAAACUAGAGGGCUGCAAACAAGGUGAAGUAAUCAGGAGGCCAUCUUCUGAUGAUCCAGAUUGGCCUGUCGUGGUAGAUACACACUUCAGUGCUAAUCACCUUUCAGUGAAGUUGGAUGACGAGGAAGUUCACAUUACAAAGACAGGCAUGUACAACUUGUUCUUCAUUUCUUGUGAUCCAAAAGUAAGGGGCCUUGCUAUGAGUGGGAAGACAAUCUGGAGAAAUCCUGGGGGGUACCUACCGGGACGAAUGGCACCUCUGAUGAGAUUUUAUGUUUUCAUGUCGCUGGCAUAUCUGUUAGUCAUGGUUGUCUGGUUUAGCAAUUACAUAAGGUUUUGGAGGGAUAUACUGCCAAUACAGAAUUGGAUCACACUAGUAAUUGCUCUUGGACUGUUUGAGAUGACACUAUGGUACUUUGAGUACUUAAACUUCAACAGCAGCGGUGUACGACCUGUCGGAAUUACAACUUGGGUUGUAACUGUUGGCGCUAUCAGAAAAACAAUUUCCCGUCUACUGAUCCUUUCUAUAUCCAUGGGAUACGGUGUUGUUCGCCCAACUCUAGGAGGGCUCACCUCUAAGGUUUUACUCCUUGGGCUUACGUAUUUCCUGGCUUCUGAAUUACUGGAUAUUUCAGAAAAUGUUGGAACAAUUAAUGACAUUUCAGGCAAAGCAAAGCUUUUCCUUGUCCUUCCUGAUGCAUUUUUGGAUGCUUUUCUCAUACUUUGGAUUUUCACUUCUCUUUCCCGCACUCUCGAGAAACUACAGGCAAGGAGGAGUUCUGUGAAAUUGGAUAUAUACAGAAAGUUUACAAAUGCACUGGCGGUCUCUGUCAUAGGUUCAGUUGUCUGGAUUGGCUAUGAGGUCUAUUUCAAAGCAACAGAUCCCUUUAGUGAGAGAUGGCAGAGUGCUUGGAUCAUUACAGCCUUCUGGGACGUUCUUGCAUUUGUUUUGCUUAUUGUGAUAUGUUAUUUGUGGGCACCUUCUCAAAGCUCACAAAGGUAUGCAUAUUCAGGCGAAGCUGUCGACGAUGAGGAGGAGUCUCAGUCUCUGACAAAGGGGUCUGAUGGUGAUGUAGGGAUGGUAAAGAUUGACAAAGACAGAAAUGCUGGUGUUAGCAGUGCUUUCAGCUUGGAAGAUGAUGAGGCUGAAGAGGACAAAAGAGAAUAGUAUUUCUUCCCUUGUUCCUUGUGCCCAGACAGGUUUUGUUGUAGAAGCGUGUGAUUUUAACCACACCGUGGAAGUGUGAUGACCCGUAUGGGGUGUGGAUCUGUGCUUGACUUUGAAGUGCGAGCUUGACAUUGCCCUCGUCUCGAGAAGGAACCCCAUCCCAGAUUGGCGCUGAUGGGAACCGCUGAGGAGCCCCAUCCCAUGUUGGCGCCGAUGGGAACAGCUGGCGAAGCACCUCGUUGUCUUCGGAGUGAAGACCAGUGUACUGUGAGUUGGACCAUGGCGGAGGUACCCCUCUUGACCAUACGGUGAUUCAAAAUCGCCUCCGGAAGCAUGGUAGUUUCUGUCAAAUCAGGGGCCCGUGGAAGCUCGGAGAAGACGAGCGUGUAAUCAGGCGCGAAUGCCGGGAGACAGAAUACCAGGUGGAUACGGCUGUCCCGUGGCAGUGCGAGGUUGUACGCCAGAGUUCCCACCUUCUGCUCGAUUUCCGGUGGCAGUGUGAGCUUGUAUGCCAGACUUCCCACCUUCUGCUCGAUGCCGAAGGGACCAAAGAACUCACGCUAGUUUUGGUCCCGGGUGGUUCGUUUACGGUGGACCGGUCUUACGACUGCAGCUUUGAGGACACGAUCCCCCACGGCAAAGAUGUGCUCGGUGUGGUGGUCAUCCGCCUGGGACCGUACGUGGUGCUGCGCGCGUGUGUUG
rnacentral:rRNA from 1 species